rnacentral:sRNA from 21 species
UGAUGCCAGGGUCAAAAGGUCUAAGCCCACAUGAGCUUGCUCAUAGGUGGGUGAAAGACCUUAGGCCCCGCCCCGAUAUGAGCAUAAAAGUGGGAUGAUAAUCCCACGAUAUGCGAAUAUUGGGUAGGAUUGUGGGAGUGCGUAGCACGGAGCAAUCCGUAGGCAUCA